rnacentral:rRNA from 1 species
UACAGAGGUCCCGAGCGUUGUUCGGAUUCAUUGGGCGUAAGGGUGCGUAGGCGGCGGGGCAAGUCUGAUGUGAAAUCCCGGGGCUCAACCCCGGAACUGCAUUGGAUACUGCCUUGCUUGAGUACUGGAGAGGAGACUGGAAUUUACGGUGUAGCAGUGAAAUGCGUAGAGAUCGUAAGGAAGGCCAGUGGCGAAGGCGAGUCUCUGGACAGUAACUGACGCUGAGGCACGAAGGCCAGGGGAGCAAACGGG